rnacentral:rRNA from 1 species
CCUACGGGUGGCAGCAGUGGGGAAUAUUGCACAAUGGGGGAAACCCUGAUGCAGCGACGCCGCGUGGGUGAUGAAGGCCUUCGGGUUGUAAAGCCCUGUCGGCUGGGAACGUGUACCAGCAAAGGAAGCACCGGCUAACCCUGUGCCAGCAGCCGCGGUAAUACAGGGGGUGCUAGCGUUGUUCGGAAUUACUGGGCGUAAAGGGCGCGUAGGCGGUUUUGCAAGUCAGUGGUGAAAUCCCGGAGCUUAACUCCGGAAUUGCUUUUGAUACUGCAAGGCUAGAGUGUGUUAGAGGAUGGCGGAAUUCCUAGUGUAGAAGUGAAAUUCGUAGAUAUUAGGAAGAACACCGGUGGCGAAGGCGGCCAUCUGGACCAACUGACGCUGAGGCGCGAAAGCGUGGGGAUCAAACAGGAUUAGAUACCCUUGUAGUC